rnacentral:tmRNA from 1 species
GGGGGCGAAAGGCUUCGACCGGAUAGGAUGACGGUCAGACGGCGUGCCCAGGAUGACGGUUGGCCUGGAUAAAAAUCCGUUACCAAUUUAACUGGCAACUACCAGUAUAGCAUGGCUGCCUAAUUGAGCGGCCCGUUCCGACAGACUGUGUCCGUGAGUUUGUCCUGAACGACGCAUAGCGGACUGGCCUGAGGGCAUGUUUGCGGCCCAAAGGCGAGACCUUAGCAAAAUAGCGAGUUUUGGAGCCUGUCGUUCGGCGUCGAAAUGAGCGAAACCUUAAUUGAACGACUACGCAUGUAGAAGUCUGAUCUGAAAUAUCUCGGGACGGGGGUUCGAAUCCCCCCGCCUCCAGUC